rnacentral:rRNA from 1 species
AUUGAACGCUGGCGGCAGGCCUAACACAUGCAAGUCGAGCGGAUGAAGGGAGCUUGCUCCUGGAUUUAGCGGCGGACGGGUGAGUAAUGCCUAGGAAUCUGCCUGGUAGUGGGGGAUAACGUCCGGAAACGGGCGCUAAUACCGCAUACGUCCUGAGGGAGAAAGUGGGGGAUCUUCGGACCUCACGCUAUCAGAUGAGCCUAGGUCGGAUUAGCUAGUUGGUGGGGUAAAGGCCUACCAAGGCGACGAUCCGUAACUGGUCUGAGAGGAUGAUCAGUCACACUGGAACUGAGACACGGUCCAGACUCCUACGGGAGGCAGCAGUGGGGAAUAUUGGACAAUGGGCGAAGGCCUGAUCCAGCCAUGCCGCGUGUGUGAAGAAGGUCUUCGGAUUGUAAAGCACUUUAAGUUGGGAGGAAGGGCAGUAAGUUAAUACCUUGCUGUUUUGACGUUACCAACAGAAUAAGCACCGGCUAACUUCGUG